UACGUAGGUGGCGAGCGUUGUCCGGAUUUACUGGGCGUAAAGGGAGCGUAGGCGGACUUUUAAGUGAGAUGUUAAAUACCCGGGCUCAACUUGGGUGCUGCAUUUCAAACUGGAAGUCUAGAGUGCAGGAGAGGAGAAUGGAAUUCCUAGCGUAGCGGUGAAAUGCGUAGAGAUUAGGAAGAACACCAGUGGCGAAGGCGAUUCUCUGGACUGUAACUGACGCUGAGGCUCGAAAGCGUGGGGAGCAAACAGGAUUAGAUACCCUGGUA
rnacentral:rRNA from 1 species